CCUGACUAUUUAGUCGGGGGCACAGACCACUUUUCCCUUAGGUUGUCAAAUAAAAAAUGACAACGGCCAACACAACAAUAGGCGUCCGAUGUAAAUGAAUAAAAAUCAUACCUAUUGUUCUGUGUCAAAUC